GCCGAUUCCAUUUGCACUCAGGGCCCAACAGGCCUCUUCUUCAACAGGGCCAUACCACUCCACCCUCCUUUCUUCAUUACAUGGGCCAACUGCAGCCACAGGCCUGCAGACCUUUCAGGCUCACACUGUACAACUACUACAGGCCCACAGCAGCAUCCUUUUAGUGUCCAUUUCAACUGAACAGCUCGGAUUCAGCAAUCAGCCCCCACUGAGUGUCGGCACUGUGUCAUCGUCUCCACUGCUUGGGAAGCCACGAGCAAACGAUUUUGGUCGACUACUUCACGACAGGUGAUAGGUUUCUACUUUUCUUCGGCUUGUUUAUCUAAUUAUGUUCUAGUUCUCUUGCAUGACAGUCCUAUUUUGAAAACUUACUUUCCUGUCAAACUGCAAAACCUAAAACAUCUACUUUCAAACCCAUCCUAUUCGCUUUUUAAAAUCUAGAUAUUAAAUUAGCACACCCUAGCAACUGGACAUUUCUCAACAUUCUUUGAUCAGAUUGAUUUAGGAUCAGAACAACUGUACUACUUCAUUGCAAUCUAAUUUCUUAAAUUGAAUAAUCUUAAUCCUUAAUUCUGAAUAACCGAAGUAAAAAUCAGCAACAUUUAAAUUUUAAGUUAUUUUUGUGAAGACUUGCUGAUUUCUGAAAUCAUAAUAGAUUGCAUUAGUAGGUUGUCCUGCAUCAAAUUUGGUCCUACAUUAUAGUUAUUAGGGUUUCAUUAGUGACACUGCAUUUCGCAUCAUCACCAAGUGUCAUCAUUACAUGCCAACCUGUAGUGAUAUGGAGUACUAUCUCAGUUGAUGGGGACAUCAGAGCCCUUCAUCCAGAUGAUCCUGAGCCCUCGGAUUGAGUCAGACCCAUUUUAUUUGCAUAUUUAUUUGUCUAUUUUUAUUUCUGGGCUUAUUUGCAUUUUAGGGCUUAUUUGUGGGUUAUUUGUGUUAUUUGUGGAUUUAUUAGGAUUUAUUUCUGUGUAAGGGGAUUUAUGCAAAUUUUGUAUUUUGGCCCUAUAUAUAGGGACCUCUUUUCAUGAUUAGGGUUAAAUGAAAGAUUAACAAUUUUCUUCCCCACGUCUCCUCCUCCUCUCUUUCUCCUUCUCUUCUCCUUCUUUUCUUCCUCCUCUUCUCCCUCUUCUUCUGUUCCUGAUUCAAAAUUGCAACGUGAGUACAUCGUAUCCACUGAAGACUGCCUUCCCGGACUUGGUCCUACACCAACUUGGUAUCAGAGCUUCGGCUUUGCCACUGCUGCCAAAGCCACGAUUGUUCUCUUUCUUCCCUCUUUCUCGGUUUUCACCAGGCACUCUCUCUCUCGGUUUUCACCCCCCCCUCUGUCAGUUUUCACCAGAGAAAAAAAAAACAAAAAAAGAGAGAAGGUCCGUCCGUCCCUCUUGGUUCUCAUCAGAGACAGAGGGGAAAACGCC
rnacentral:lncRNA from 1 species